rnacentral:rRNA from 1 species
GAUGAACGCUAGCGGGAGGCCUAACACAUGCAAGCCGAGCGGUAUUUGUCUUUCGGGACAGAGAGAGCGGCGUACGGGUGCGGAACACGUGUGCAACCUGCCUUUAUCAGGGGGAUAGCAUUUCGAAAGGAAGAUUAAUACCCCAUAAUAUAUUGAUUGGCAUCAAUUAAUAUUGAAAACUGAGGUGGAUAAAGAUGGGCACGCGCAAGAUUAGAUAGUUGGUGAGGUAACGGCUCACCAAGUCGAUGAUCUUUAGGGGGCCUGAGAGGGUGAUCCCCCACACUGGUACUGAGACACGGCCCAGACUCCUACGGGAGGCAGCAGUGGGGAAUAUUGCACAAUGGGCGCAAGCCUGAUGCAGCAACGCCGCGUGAGGGAUGACGGCCUUCGGGUUGUAAACCUCUUUUAGCAGGGAAGAAGCGAAAGUGACGGUACCUGCAGAAAAAGCACCGGCUAACUACGUGCCAGCAGCCGCGGUAAUACGUAGGGUGCAAGCGUUAUCCGGAAUCAUUGGGCGUAAAGAGCUCGUAGGCGGUUUGUCGCGUCUGCUGUGAAAACCCGAGGCUCAACCUCGGGCCUGCAGUGGGUACGGGCAGACUAGAGUGCGGUAGGGGAGAUUGGAAUUCCUGGUGUAGCGGUGGAAUGCGCAGAUAUCAGGAGGAACACCGAUGGCGAAGGCAGAUCUCUGGGCCGUAACUGACGCUGAGGAGCGAAAGGGUGGGGAGCAAACAGGCUUAGAUACCCUGGUAGUCCACCCCGUAAACGUUGGGAACUAGUUGUGGGGACCAUUCCACGGUUUCCGUGACGCAGCUAACGCAUUAAGUUCCCCGCCUGGGGAGUACGGCCGCAAGGCUAAAACUCAAAGGAAUUGACGGGGACCCGCACAAGCGGCGGAGCAUGCGGAUUAAUUCGAUGCAACGCGAAGAACCUUACCAAGGCUUGACAUAUACGAGAACGGGCCAGAAAUGGUCAACUCUUUGGACACUCGUAAACAGGUGGUGCAUGGUUGUCGUCAGCUCGUGUCGUGAGAUGUUGGGUUAAGUCCCGCAACGAGCGCAACCCUCGUUCUAUGUUGCCAGCACGUAAUGGUGGGAACUCAUGGGAUACUGCCGGGGUCAACUCGGAGGAAGGUGGGGAUGACGUCAAAUCAUCAUGCCCCUUAUGUCUUGGGCUUCACGCAUGCUACAAUGGCCGGUACAAUGGGCUGCGAUACCGUAAGGUGGAGCGAAUCCCAAAAAGCCGGUCCCAGUUCGGAUUGAGGUCUGCAACUCGACCUCAUGAAGUCGGAGUCGCUAGUAAUCGCAAAUCAGCAACGCUGCGGUGAAUACGUUCCCGGGUCUUGUACACAC